rnacentral:rRNA from 1 species
GACGAACGCUGGCGGCGUGCUUAACACAUGCAAGUCGGACGGAAAGGCCCUGCUUUUGUGGGGUGCUCGAGUGGCGAACGGGUGAGUAACACGUGAGUAACCUGCCCGUGACUUUGGGAUAACUUCAGGAAACUGGGGCUAAUACCGGAUAGGAGCUCCUGCUGCAUGGUGGGGGUUGGAAAGUUUCGGCGGUUGGGGAUGGACUCGCGGCUUAUCAGCUUGUUGGUGGGGUAGUGGCUUACCAAGGCUUUGACGGGUAGCCGGCCUGAGAGGGUGACCGGCCACAUUGGGACUGAGAUACGGCCCAGACUCCUACGGGAGGCAGCAGUGGGGAAUAUUGCACAAUGGGCGGAAGCCUGAUGCAGCAACGCCGCGUGCGGGAUGACGGCCUUCGGGUUGUAAACCGCUUUCGCCUGUGACGAAGCGUGAGUGACGGUAAUGGGUAAAGAAGCACCGGCUAACUACGUG